rnacentral:rRNA from 1 species
UACGUAGGGUGCAAGCGUUGUCCGGAAUUAUUGGGCGUAAAGAGCUCGUAGGCGGUUCGUCGCGUCGGCUGUGAAAACCCGGAGCUCAACUCCGGGCCUGCAGUCGAUACGGGCGGACUCGAGUUCGGCAGGGGAGACUGGAAUUCCUGGUGUAGCGGUGAAAUGCGCAGAUAUCAGGAGGAACACCGGUGGCGAAGGGCGGG